rfam:Pteropus alecto contig12959, whole genome shotgun sequence.
AUCUAUGACCAUGCCACCCUGAGCAAGCCCGAUCCCAUCUGAUCUCGGAAGCUAAGCAGGGUCGAGCCUGGUUAGUACUUGGAUGGGAGACCACCUAGGAAGACCAAAUGUUGUAGGCG